rnacentral:rRNA from 1 species
UACGGAGGGUGCAAGCGUUAUCCGGAUUUACUGGGUUUAAAGGGUGCGUAGGUGGGUUGGUAAGUCAGUGGUGAAAUACUUUCGCUUAACGAAGGAACUGCCAUUGAUACUAUCAAUCUUGAAUGUAGUGGAGGUAGGCGGAAUGCGUCAUGUAGCGGUGAAAUGCUUAGAUAUGACGCAGAACACCAAUUGCGAAGGCAGCUUGCUACACUACUAUUGACGCUGAGGCACGAAAGCGUGGGGAUCAAACAGG